AAUUUUUUUAUAAGAUUUCAUGAGAUUUGAUCUACCAAGACUAAACACGACAAUUGUUUGUACUGAUUGAAAACAAAGAGUGGCAUAUAUUAUGCUGUGUUUUCUCACAUUUAUGCUUAUAAUGCUUAAACCUUGUCCAGAAUCUUAAACAGCUUUUUUUUCUAAAGUUUUUUUUUUGUUGUUGUUGUUUUUUACAACAGGAGUUUUAUAACAGGCAUUGUAAAACAACUAACAUUCCCACUUAUUUUUCAAGCAUUUCAUUUGAUAAAUGAGACCUGUACACGUGCUCCAUUUCUCAAUUUCCCACCUUACUAACUUGCUUAAUAUCCUUAUAAAAGCAGUUUCCUCGUAAGUACCAUCUUAAGAAGACAUAAAGAAGCCGUUUUGGAAGAAAACUUUCAAAUUUAGUUCUAAUAAUAUCCUUCCCUUCAUGGAAGAUUUCUCCAUCUCUAUAGGGCAAAGACUGUUUGGUCUCCAUACAUUUUCAACAAGAGACAAUGAAUGUCAGUGGGCGCAAUUUUUUCCACAUGAAGAAAUUCAAUGACACACCUUUGCUCCGUAUGUACUUCCAUGCCAGAUGGCAUUUUAUCAAACUACCACUCUGCUGCCAUCUGUUGCUCAGCAGCAAAAUGUAACAGAAUGUUGUUCAAUGUCUAUCGCCAUAACACCAACACUCAUUGUGAUGUUAUGGGCUGACAUAAUAAGAGGCAUUACUUUUGGAGCAGCCUUUGUAUAUGUCCUUCAUAAGCAUGGAUGUGAACAAAGUCUGCUUUGUAGAUGUUCUCUUCUGCUUCCAAAGAAAACAGUAAGGCAGAAGAAAAAAUUGCAAUGUCCUCCUUCAGACUGUAGUUUAGAUUUCAAGCCUCGAGGGAAACAGCCAUUUAUGUUGAGAGAUGUGUGGUCCAGAGCUCUGCCUGCAUGAGUCUAUUCCAAAAGAGGAGUAUCACCUUCAUAAACACAUUUUUCUGUUACAUAUUUCCUAAAAUGAAUUCACAGGUACUAUCAACAAGAACCUUUGGUUCUCUAGUUUCUGAUAAGCUACAAUAUCAGUUCAACAUAUUUUGCUUGUUUUGUUUUCUGAAAAAUGAUUAUUAGUGAAAUUGAAAAUGAAAUAUAAGUUUGUGACAAAUAAGGUCAGAUUUGCUCCUAAAUAUAAUUUGUUCUUAGCAUGCUGGUAUUACUGUUAUGGCUAUUAUGACAUUUCUAUGAAUAAAUAGUUUCUAUU
ensembl:lncRNA